rnacentral:rRNA from 1 species
AUUGAACGCUGGCGGCAUGCCUUACACAUGCAAGUCGAACGGCAGCGCGGGGGCAACCCUGGCGGCGAGUGGCGAACGGGUGAGUAAUAUAUCGGAACGUACCCAAGAGUGGGGAUAACGUAGCGAAAGUUACGCUAAUACCGCAUACGAUCUAAGGAUGAAAGCAGGGGACCGCAAGGCCUUGUGCUCCUGGAGCGGCCGAUAUCUGAUUAGCUAGUUGGUGGGGUAAAGGCCUACCAAGGCAUCGAUCAGUAGCUGGUCUGAGAGGACGACCAGCCACACUGGGACUGAGACACGGCCCAGACUCCUACGGGAGGCAGCAGUGGGGGAAUUUUGGACAAUGGGGGGCAACCCUGAUCCAGCAAUGCCGCGUGAGUGAAGAAGGCCUCGGUUGUAAG